rnacentral:tRNA from 1 species
UGGGUUGUGGCUCAAUGGUAGAGCGCUUGCCUAGUACGUGUGAAGCACUGGGUUCAAUUCUCAACACCACAU